rnacentral:rRNA from 1 species
AGUAGACGUUCAGAGUUUGAUCCUGGCUCAGGACGAAUGCUGGCGGCGUGCUUAACACAUGCAAGUCACGGGGCCGCAAGGGUAACCGGCGAACGGGUGCGUAACACGUGAACAAUCUGCCUAGAUGUGGGGAUAGCCGGCCCAACGGCCGGGUAAUACCGCAUACGCUCUUCGGGUGGCAUCACUUGAAGAGGAAACCUCCGGGGCAUCUAGAGGAGUUCGCGGCCUAUCAGCUAGUUGGUGGGGUAACGGCCUACCAAGGCAAUGACGGGUAGCUGGUCUGAGAGGAUGGCCAGCCACAUUGGGACUGAGAUACGGCCCAG